GAAGGGCUGUAGCUCAGUGGUAGAGCAUCUGCCUCACCCUCAGAAGUUUCCAUGUUCAAUCCUGGGCAUCUCACA